rnacentral:rRNA from 1 species
UAGGGAAUCUUCCACAAUGGACGCAAGUCUGAUGGAGCAACGCCGCGUGAGUGAAGAAGGUCUUCGGAUCGUAAAGCUCUGUUGUAAGAGAAGAACGUGUGUGAGAGUGGAAAGUUCACACGGUGACGGUAACUUACCAGAAAGGGACGGCUAACUACGUGCCGG